UAAAAGUAAAAAAAAAGUAAUCAAUACUUAGAAAAUCUAAAUAAUUUUUCUUUAUAGAAGAGUGAACAAAAUAAGGAGAACCCUGGUAGAAAUAAAGCCCACAAACUCACUGAGCACUAUCUGUAACUGACACCGGCUUUUUUCUGCUUUGUAAGUUACCCUCCAAAGAUGGUAUUAAAAGUAUAAGUGGUAAUGUCAGAACAACAUGCUUGUCCCUGGCUAUACACAACUAUACUUUCGCCAUUAAUUUCUGCCUUCUACUGAGGCUUAGCGAUUGUGGUAAGAGGAGCUCUGUGGAUCUUCUACUUAGUUUCCUUUCUUAGAACAUUCCUAUCCCAGGAUAUUGAACAGGUGAAGCAGCAACAGUCAGAGGGAAACAGAAUGUGGAAUCCCCAGCAGCAGGAUGAAAACAGUCAUACACAGCCCUGACCAACUAUAAUGGGCGCUGUCUAUGUGACUCGGGGGACUCCUGGUACAGCCCCACUGGUCACCAGUGAUCACAAAGGCAAGGGCCCAAUUUUGACCAGCAAUUAAGGAGAGGUCAGCUGGGCAUUAGGGAAGAGUUUCUGGAAAAAACUUCCUCACUUCUAAGAGAAAGCCAUCCAGGAGGCAGUUCUUCCGGACACUGCUGUCGUCUGGACAGGACACCAGAAAGCAUGGUAGCUAUCUUACCAUCUGCCAGGGGAAAAAGCACCAAGUAGAGCUGAGAGGGGAAAGAGCUCAGUUCUUUGACAGUCAUGAUUUAGCCCAAUAAAUCAAUUUACCCUGAAGACUGCAUUACUGUUGAACUUCCCGUGUUAUAAGAUUAUUUCCAUACUGUUUAAGUCAGUUUGAGUAUAAAUUUCUAUUACUUGAAGCUAAUAACAUUUUCACCAACAUACUGCUGUGCACUUUUUUAAACCCUGAUCUAAUAAAUUAUUGCUUGACUUUGUUCUUAGUUUCACAGACCCACAAGGCCUUGAAUGGCAAAUUAUAUUAGUACAUUAGUACAUCUGACAAAGAAACUGUCAACACAGGCAGUAAAAUUUUCUUGUGAACAUCUGCAAUCACGGAGAUUUAAAGCUGUUUUCAAAGAAUACUGAGGUAUGCCUCUUAUCAGUAGUUUCUAGUAAGUGGGAAAUGGGUAAGUGUUGGAAUAAUUAAAUAUGGAAGUGCCGAUAUAAACAUGCUCCUUCCUUUGCCAACUGAGCCAGGAUACUGUGGUGGGGCCUGUGGGCAGGUAUGGGCUUAAUGUUUCAUUUGGUCACUACUCAGUCUCCGACCUUCCCAAGAGGUGGCUUUUUACACAGAGAUGAAAACACACUUCCCCUUGUUUUCCUAACAGCUUAAUCUGCAAAAUAUGGCCAGUUUCCAUGUCAUUGAGCAAUCAGAUUAAUGUAUUAUGAAACCAAAGUGAGAAGGAUCAGAAUAGGACAUCAGUGGGUCAAUGACUUAAAAGAAACCCAUGCUCUGAGGAAACUUAGUGGUAAGGAGACCUCUUUCAUGACCAACCCCUUACUUUACUUCUAAUCAGCUGUAAAGGGUAACGGAUUGUCAAGAGUGACAGGGGGAGUGCCUUAAAUGUUUCGUCCCCUCUAGUCCCACUGCCCGGUUUCAGACCUUCAUUUCUCCCUGGCGUGGGCAAUGAUAUGCUUCUAAACUUUGACUCCAAACUCUAACUCUCGCUUUCACAAUGCCACCAGACAGAAACCUGAUCAAGGUUUCUCUUUCUCAAAAAAAUUAACUCAGUGUUCCCUUCUCCCCAUGCUUCCCUUUAGAAGUAGGACUUAACCAUUACAGACUAGAGUUAUGAUUCCAUCUAAUCAGUGCUUUCAAACAAAGUCAACAUACCUUUAAAAAUCCAGUAGUUAACCAUUCAUUUGCAUAUUUAUGUAAUGCCUACUACAUUCUGUGUUCAAAGAUAAACAAGACAGUUCCUGCCCUUCAGAGGCUGAAAAUAUAGUGUGAAAAACAGACACGUAAACAAGUAAGUGAUAAAUGCUAUCAAAUGAACAAAGUGCUAUGGAAAUAUACUCGUGAAGAAUGUUAUACAUACUGUUUUCCAGGGUCAAAAUUUAAAAAUCAGUAAGUAAUUCUCUGGAAAUACUCAUAAAGACUGUAUCUUUUAAAUGGUCUGUUAAGCAAUGCACUCAAAAUUUUUAAAACAUUACUACAUUCAAAUUUUUCCAUGUUGAAUGUGAAGGGUAAAAAUCUUUAGAACUACCACAUUAAAAGUUUAAACAAAUACUAAUCUUUGUUGUAAUUCCUGCUUUAUAUACAUUAACUUUUUUGGAGUUUUAUGUCUGUUUCAUAAAUGAAAAGAACUUUACAUAAGCUAGUUUUUUUUAGGAAGCAAAUAUAAUUUAUAUUGUUUUUCUGUUUCCCUUUUCAUAUGCUGUGCUGCACGGUUACGCAUAAUAAUCUCUAUCCAACUGUGUUUAGGAUUUACCUACAUGUGAAUCUGGAUUAGAUAGAUUUCAUUUAAAAACUUUUCAUAAAAUUGAUUUCUAACAAAAGUUCAAUCUUUAGGAAAUUUAAUGGGUUCAAUUUUCCUUUACUUCCUACCUUUGGAAGCUAGAAGACUGUGCUACAUACCUAAUCUAUUCUUCAAGAGUCUACAGAAAAGACAUCAAAAGGCAUACAAUCUCUAUGAGGUUUCCUAGGAAGAGGCUAAGGAAAAUCCUCAAGAUGGAAAGGCCUUUGCAAUUACGUGGAACCACCAACAAAUCUCAAAUUAGAGGAGAAGGCCAGAAGAGUUGUAUGACUUACCCAUGUUUAUACAGCUACCUCUAAAUGGUUUCUGAAAUUAAAUAAAUGCUCAUGUUUACUGAGGUUUUACCUUGCA